GAUGAACGCUGGCGGCGUGCCUAAUACAUGCAAGUCGAGCGAACAGAUAAGGAGCUUGCUCCUUUGACGUUAGCGGCGGACGGGUGAGUAACACGUGGGUAACCUACCUAUAAGACUGGGAUAACUUCGGGAAACCGGAGCUAAUACCGGAUAAUAUUUCGAACCGCAUGGUUCGAUAGUGAAAGAUGGUUUUGCUAUCACUUAUAGAUGGACCCGCGCCGUAUUAGCUAGUUGGUAAGGUAACGGCUUACCAAGGCGACGAUACGUAGCCGACCUGAGAGGGUGAUCGGCCACACUGGAACUGAGACACGGUCAAGACUCCUACGGGAGGCAGCAGUAGGGAAUCUUCCGCAAUGGGCGAAAGCCUGACGGAGCAACGCCGCGUGAGUGAUGAAGGUCUUCGGAUCGUAAAACUCUGUUAUUAGGGAAGAACAUACGUGUAAGUAACUGUGCACGUCUUGACGGUACCUAAUCAGAAAGCCACGGCUAACUACGUG
rnacentral:rRNA from 1 species